UUUCAGUAGAUGCUUUCAGAAAGAUGCUUUUGGGACAUGGCUUCAGAGGGUGCUUUUGGAAGAUGGUUUCAGGAGAGGCUUUCAGGAAAAUGCCUUUGGGGGAUGGUUUCAGUAAGAUGAUUUUGGCAGAUGCAUUCAGGAAGAUUCUUUCAGAAGAUGUUUCAGCUCCACCAUCUCUGCUGCUCUCUCUGGCUCAGCUACAGUGACUGCACUGGGGAUCCUUUCCCACUAUGCUGGGCUCAUAGAAUCCAGGCUAGUUUGGGUUGGAUAGGACAUUAAAGACCACCCAGUCCAAUCCCCUGCCAUGGGCAGAGACACCUUCCUCUAUCCCAGGUUGUUCCAAGCCCCAUCCAGUCUGGCCUUGGAUGGUUCCAGGGAUGGGGAGCCACAGCUUUUCUGGGUGAUUUGUGCCAGGGCCUCCCCACCCUCACAGGGAACAAUUCCUUCCUAAUCACCCUCUCAGCUCUGACUCAGUGAGACCUUUCCUGGACACUUUAUAAGAGUCAAGAUCCUUGAAAUACUCUUCCAUUCUUAGUAGCAAGAGCUGCAGCUCUGGCAAUAACUGCAAUAACUGUCACACCUGGCUUCUCAGUGCAGAUGAGUGACGGCCAAUUUUCUGCUGGUUGAGAAUUUAUUUCUGAAGUUCUCCCAUCUGCCCUGGAGAGCUCCUCCCUCACCACCCUAAGCAACACCUGGAAUCUGAGUCCCAGCUCAUUUUCGGCUAUCAGCAAACUUCCAUCACAUCCUGCCUGGCCAGAAACAUGACCAGACACAGAACUACAGCAGGGAAACAGGCAGUGCUUGCUUUGUUGUUUCAUUAGAACUUGAUUUGGUGCUGUAUUUAAACAUGAAUUACUGAGAAGGCAAAGAACCGGCUCUGCUCCUUGCUGGUUGUUAUUAAAACUCUAAAUCAGGCUGCCUAUGGGGCCAUCCCUACUACCUUUGCAAAAUGAAACAGGGAAUUAGCUUCUUCUGUCUCUAAGGGAGGCUGCAAGCACUCUCAGUGAUCCUAAUAAAUCACUUGGAUUUUCCUGAACCUGCCAGUUUGCAAUGUUGUAGAUCACCUACAGGGUUGUGGAGGAAUAAGAGUUGGAAUAAGAGUGCUCUUCCUAAAUGGUAACUUAGACCAGCAGUGUCCUGGGGUGACAGGACAUUUUCAUGCUUUGUAUCUCAAAUCGUGGGGGUUUUUUGGUGGUUUUAUUUUGUUUGUUUUUUUGUUUUGUUUUGUUUUGUUUUUUGUUGUUUGUUUUCCUGUUCCCAUGUUCCCAGUUUGUUUUGUCUAUAGCUGAGCCCCUCCCCCGGCUGCUUGCUUUUGGCUUGCUGCUGCUAGCUUUAGGCUGCUUUGCUGGCUUUGCUCUCUUGCUUUCUGCUUUUUGCCAUUUUUGCCAUUUUUCUGCUUUUGUGUUUCCCCUUCUUUCCUUCCUCCCUUCCCUGAAGACAUCGGACCUGCUUCGGGCCCUGAUUCGGGAACAUCAAGGGAACACCCCCCAGAGUCUGCACCUGAAAGAAGCUUUGGCACCCUCCGCAGCAGAGACUGCUCACCCUCUCUUGGACUGGCAGCCUUUUCCUGCCCAGAUAUCACUGACCAGCAUCACCACAAGAAGCUCUGACUGACAUGAAAAGACAUUUCCACUGCUCAGAUAAUUGAUCUUCAAUGCUGUCUGCCAAGUGAGAGCACUGAGUCACUCCCAUCCCUACCAGCCUGGUCACAGCCUUUCCCAGCCAGACCAGCAAAGCUCUCACCCACAGAGAGGACUCAGCACAGGGUUUUUUUCCUGUAUGAUGGGAAAACAGAACCUUCCUUCAUCUUCUGGAAUGAACUUUCUGCCCUUCUAUAGAGUGGAGACCAGCAAAGACACUGUGGUAGAGGACUGGUGAUGCAUGUCAUACCAUCAGAGAGUGCCAGAGGGGUCUGGGUUGGAAGGGAUCUUAAAUAUCAUCCAGUGCCACCCCUGCUGUGGCAGGGACACCUUCCACUGUCCCAGGCUGCUCCAAGCCCUGUCCACCCUGGCCUUGGGCACUGCCAGGGAUCCAGGGGCAGCCACAGCUGCUCUGGGCACCCUGUGCCAGGGCCUGCCCACUCUCACAGGGAAGUAUUCAUAGACAGAAAUGAACUUGGAUAAAAUAUCUAUUGAGCCAAAUUUGCAAUUUUUUCUCCCCUCUGAAAGUAGGCAGAAAUAUUUGUUAGCUUUUCCGGGCCUCUUCUCUCCCCCAUCACCUCAGAUACCCUCUCAGAGAACAUGUGAUGAGCAAAGGGCUCAGGGUAGGACCCUCUUCUGUCACAUCUUACACAAGCUGAAGGGACCUGUUAAGCUGGGGCAGCUCGAUGGAGUAAAAUGCCUGAGCUGCUCAUCUCUGCCAAGAGCAGCUCCAGGCAGUUAUUACAACACUGACUUAGAUCACAUCCAAAAGGAACACAGAAAUUUCAUGCCUUCUUCCCCCUCAGAAAGGGCAAGGAUUUAAGAUGAAGUUUGUUCUCUCAGUGCAGAAACAGCUCAUCUGGAGUGGAGAGAAUCCUGCUGAGAGUAAAUAUCAUAAUCUGGUCGAGUUCUUGUCCCUGCUGCUUCUCAGCCUAUUGAAUAACCAUGGACUAACUCACCCAGCAUUCCCGAGGGGGAAAAGUAUAGGCCCAUCCAGCACACUGGGAAGCACAAAUUAAAUUACAGGUUUCAGCCAAAAGCAUCUGGUGUGGCCUCCAGCAAACUUUGCCCCUUAUCCAUGACCCUGAUGUCCAUAGAGUUCUAAUGAUGCCACAGUUCUAAUGAUGCCACAUCUCCACUGUAUCAAUCUGUCCCCACAGCGAACAGUCCUUUCAGUCAACUCAUUUCAUAUUUCUGUCUUUCAGAGGUCCACCUGCAGAAAUGCCUCCAGUCCUGGGGUCCUCAGCACAGGAAGGACCUGGAGCUGCUGGAUCAGGUCUAGAGGAGACUUCAGGCAGUGCUCCCAGGGCUGGAGCCCCUCUGCUCUGGAGCCAGGCUGGGAGAGCUGGGAGUGUUCACCUGGAGAAAAGAAGGUUCCAGAGAGAGCUCAGAGCCCCUUGCAGAGCCUAAAGGGGCUCCAGGAGAGCUGGGGAGGGAUUGGGGACAAGGGCUGGAGGGACAGGACACAGGGAAUGGCUUCCACUGCCAUAGGGCAGGGCUGGAUGGCUGUGAGGGUGGUGAGGCCCUGGCACAGGGUGCCCAGAGAAGCUGUGGCUGCACCUGCACCCCUGGCAGUGUCCAAGGCCAGGUUAGAUAGGGUUUGGACCAACCUGGGAUAGCAGAAGCUGGGAUUUGCUCCCAAUACAAAUGCAAACAGAAGUUUUUUACCCACUGGCCCUGCCCAGACCCCCCCAGCAACCCCACCCUGUGCAUCCCUGGCAGUGCUGUGCAAACACUCCUGGAGCUCUGGCAGCCUCGGGACUGGGACCAUUCCCUGGGGAGCCUGGGCAGUGCCCAGCACCUGUGGGGGAAGAACCUUUCCCAAUAUCCAUCCCAGCCCUCCUGGCACAGCUCCAGCUGUUCCCUGGGUCCUGUCCCUGUCACAGAGCAGAGAUUGGAGCUGCCCCUGGGGAGGAGCUGCAGCCCUGCUGAACUCUGCCCUCAGCUCCUCUGCUCCAGCUGAACAGGCCAAGUGCCCUCAGCUGCUCCUCGUGUGGCUCCUCCAGACCCUUCUGCAGCCUUGUGUCCAUCCUUUGGACCCUCUCCAACACCUUUAGAUCUUUAGCACAGAGGGAUCCCCCCUCGGGACCCCCCAGGACAUCUGUCCUGUGUCACCUCCCAGCUCUGCUCCUUUGGCACCAGGAAUGCAAUUAGCUUUGAGAUUUUUUUUCUUGUUUUCCCAGUUCAGCCACUUGAGGAAGGACAAUCAGGGUUGCCAUGGUAAUGGAAGGAUGACUUCUUAAUUUGUGGGAUUCUUUCUCUAAUUAUUCUGAGAAUUGUAAUCCCAUGAAAACUGCCUCCUUUGGAGAAAUUCAGUUAAGAGCUGCACAGGCACUAAAGGAGAAGUUAAAAAGGAAGGAAAGGAGGAGGGGGAGGAGGAAGGCACCUGGAGCAUCCUCUCUGCUGCUGGGGGAGAAAUUCUUCCACUGGAAAAUGCUGGUUCAGCUCUCUGCCAAUAGGAUGUUUUCAUCAUCACCUUUCUUUGGAGGGAAAUGGGCAUGGAAAUGGAGCAUUUAGUUGUCCAGAGCAGCUGUGGCUGCCCCUGGAUCCCUGGCAGUGUCCAAGGCCAGGGUGGACAGGGCUUGGAGCAGCCUGAGACAGUGGGAGGUGUCCCUGCCCAUGGCAGGGGGUGGGACUGGAUUAUUUAAAGGUCCCUUCUAACCCAAAACAGUCUGGGAUUCUAUGACAUUCCUUUGGAAGGCAUUUCAUGCAGCCAUUUCAAUAAUUUUGGUUUUCUUUCAAGGAGGCAUCUUUUCCUUUUCAAUUGCUUUCAUUGCUUUCAUUUUAUACUCCAUUAUAAAUCCAAGCACAAUAUUAAAUGCCCUGAAAUCUAAUAAAAAAUUCAAUUUUCUCUAUAUAUUAAAAAGCUGUUUAAC